GCUCACUUGUCUUUUUUUUUUUUUUUGACCCCCCAGUGCUUAGCAUAUACUGGGAGCCAAGUCAAUGCUUUUGGAAGAAUGGAGUCACCAUGGAAUUGCGAAACAGCAAAAGCUGGUUCAGGCAGGCAAGCAGCUGGAACCAGGAAAUGGUUAAAGGCAGGAGGAAUCCACUUCACUCUGGGCUGGUCGCCAUCUGCUUCCGGCCUUCCUGUCCCUCCCACGGUGGACGGUGGACGCAGGCUUCCUGCAGACUGGGAGGGGGUCUGAGCGGGAGAGUCAGAAACCCAGCAGUGAAGGGGCUCCCUGAGCCCCAUAUGAGGGCGUUCAGAAAAGUGGGUCAGUAUCGAGGGACUUCUGACUCGCUUUGUGAGAAAGACCAGGUAGGCGGGGCCCCUGGGAGUGCAGCGGGGAGUUUGCUCCCCAGAAGAUGUGGCUGGGCCUCUCCUGGAACCAAAAGGGAACCGACAGUUCGUUCCAGGUCACCCAGCCCGAGAGGCUUAAGAGGAAGGCAAGAUUUCACGGUGGGCGCUAGACACAGGAGUACGUUCCUGGGCUAUGUGCUUUCCAGCUAGGCAAGUAGAGCGGAGGCUCCAAGGGAUGGGGGCCUGUCCCGAGCAGAAGGCCCGGGAGACCUCGCGGAAUCAACCCUAGGAUGUGAGAGCCGCCCUUGCCUGCCCGUCACACCCGAUGGUGAAGUCGCUGCCGUGGAGUCGAAAGGAUGCCCAGGACACCUUCCCUGUUAGCUGCACCGUGACAUUCUGUUCGCAUUAGUCACUGGGGACAUUUUCAUUUUCUUGCAGAGGAGCACGGUACAGGCAAAGUCCUGUGAGCUUGGAUUUUCAAGAAGGGACUGGUGACCUUAAUACAGUAACAAUAGCAACAGGGAAAGAGAGUGAUUGCAGAGACAGUGAACGGGGGCAUUCCCACUGCCUCCCAGAGGCAGGACUUGGGUGGUUUACUUAACCUCUCUGAACUUGUUCUUUUGUUUUCUUUAUUUAUUUUGGCCACACCGUGCAUGUGGGAUCUUAGUUCCCCGACCAGGGAUUGAACUUGUGCCCCCUGCAGUGGAAGCCCAGAGUCCUAACCUAACUGGACCUCCAGGGAAUUCCGUGUUCUCUCAUUUUAAAAGGAG
ensembl:lncRNA